AUGAACGCUGGCGGCGUGCCUAAUACAUGCAAGUCGAGCGAACGGACGAGAAGCUUGCUUCUCUGAUGUUAGCGGCGGACGGGUGAGUAACACGUGGAUAACCUACCUAUAAGACUGGGAUAACUUCGGGAAACCGGAGCUAAUACCGGAUAAUAUUUUGAACCGCAUGGUUCAAAAGUGAAAGACGGUCUUGCUGUCACUUAUAGAUGGAUCCGCGCUGCAUUAGCUAGUUGGUAAGGUAACGGCUUACCAAGGCAACGAUGCAUAGCCGACCUGAGAGGGUGUUUGGUCACUCUGGAACUAAGACACGGUCCAGACUCGUUCGUGAGGCAUCAGUCGUGAAUCCUCCGCAAUGGGCGAAAACGUGACGGAGCAACGCGGCGUUAGUGAUGAAGGUCUUCCGAUCGUAAGACUCUGUUAUUUGGGGUGUACAUAUGUGUAAGUACCUGUACACUUCUUGACGGUACCUAAUCAGAAAGCCACGGCUAACUACGUG
rnacentral:rRNA from 1 species